AAUCAACGCUGGCGGCGUGCCUCAGACAUGCAAGUCGAACGCGAAACGUCCCCUUCGGGGGACAAGUAGAGUGGCGCACGGGUGAGUAACACGUAGGUAAUCUACCUUUGGAUGGGGAAUAACAACCGGAAACGGUUGCUAAUACCGCAUAAUGCAGCGGCACCUAAUGGUGACAGUUGUUAAAGCGGGGAUCGAAAGACCUCGCGUCUGAAGAGGAGCCUGCGGCGGAUUAGCUUAGNGGUAAGGUAACGGCUUACCAAGGCGACGAUCCGUAGCCGGCCUGAGGAGGGCGGUCGGCCACACUGACACUGACAUACGGGUCAGA
rnacentral:rRNA from 1 species